UACGGAGGGUGCAAGCGUUAAUCGGAAUUACUGGGCGUAAAGCGUGCGCAGGCGGUUGUGCAAGACAGAUGUGAAAUCCCCGGGCUCAACCUGGGAACUGCAUUUGUGACUGCACAGCUAGAGUACGGUAGAGGGGGAUGGAAUUCCGCGUGUAGCAGUGAAAUGCGUAGAUAUGCGGAGGAACACCGAUGGCGAAGGCAAUCCCCUGGACCUGUACUGACGCUCAUGCACGAAAGCGUGGGGAGCAAACAGG
rnacentral:rRNA from 1 species